CUCUGUGACUCCUACGGGAGGCAGCAGUGGGGAAUAUUGCACAAUGGGCGCAAGCCUGAUGCAGCAACGCCGCGUGAGCGAUGAAGGCCUUCGGGUCGUAAAGCUCUGUCCUCAAGGAAGAAUAAAUGACGGUACUUGAGGAGGAAGCCCCCGGCUAACUACGUGCCAGCAGCCGCGGUAAUACGUAGGGGCAAGCGUUAUCCGGAAUCACUGGGCGUAAAGGGUGCGUAGGCGGUUUUUCAAGUCAGAAGUGAAAGGCUAUGGCUCAACCAUAGUAAGCUUUUGAAACUGUUAAACUUGAGUGCAGGAGAGGAAAGUGGAAUUCCUAGUGUAGAGGUGAAAUUCGUAGAUAUUAGGAGGAACACCAGUGGCGAAGGCGACUUUCUGGACUGUAACUGACGCUGAGGCACGAAAGCGUGGGGAGCGAACAGGAUUAGAUUCCCUGGUAG
rnacentral:rRNA from 1 species